rnacentral:misc_RNA from 1 species
AACCCCCAUGCCCCACCGAGCCCUGGUUUGGGCUCGGAGCGGCGUUUUGGGCCCCAUUUGUCGCGGGGAUCGGGCUAUGGCCCCUCCCCCGUGUGGCCUUGAAGAGAUUGACAUCUGUCUGCGGGCGCGAGAUCCGUUAGGACUGAGCCCUUUGGGACGGAGAGACGUGCGAGCGCUGUGGCGCUGAAAA